UGGGGAAUAUUGGACAAUGGACCAAGAGUCUGAUCCAGCAAUUCUGUGUGCACGAUGAAGUUUUUCGGAAUGUAAAGUGCUUUCAGUUGGGAAGAAAAAAAUGACGGUACCAACAGAAGAAGUGACGGCUAAAUACGUGCCAGCAGCCGCGGUAAUACGUAUGUCACGAGCGUUAUCCGGAUUUAUUGGGCGUAAAGCGCGUCUAGGUGGUUAUGUAAGUCUGAUGUGAAAAUGCAGGGCUCAACUCUGUAUUGCGUUGGAAACUGUAUAACUAGAGUACUGGAGAGGUAAGCGGAACUACAAGUGUAGAGGUGAAAUUCGUAGAUAUUUGUAGGAAUGCCGAUGGGGAAGCCAGCUUACUGGACAGAUACUGACGCUGAAGCGCGAAAGCGUGGGUAGCAAACAGG
rnacentral:rRNA from 1 species